AUGUUGGGUUAAGUCCCGCAACGAGCGCAACCCUUGUCUUUAAUUGCCAUCAUUCAGUUGGGCACUUUAAAGAGACUGCCGGUGUUAAACCGGAGGAAGGUGGGGAUGACGUCAAGUCCUCAUGGCCUUUAUGCCCAGGGCUACACACGUGCUACAAUGGGUGGUACAAAGAGAUGCAAUCUCGCAAGAGCAAGCAAACCUCAAAAAGCCAUCCUCAGUCCGGAUUGGAGUCUGCAACUCGACUCCAUGAAGUCGGAAUCGCUAGUAAUCGCGGAUCAGCACGCCGCGGUGAAUACGUUCCCGGGCCUU
rnacentral:rRNA from 1 species